UUAUUUUCUAAGUGUUAGUUUGUGUUUUGUCCCUUGCGAGCUCCUGUAGUUCCCUCGUGCAGUCUACCGAGCUGGAAGCAGCUGCACUGUGCGUUUGGUGGCAAAUACUCUUUAAAUUCACCAUUUGUGUGCGUCAAUUUGACCAAACCACACAUAUACCAUACACUUACGCUCCACAGACACACACCUCUGAUCACAACACUAUCUUGUACCGAGCUGAUGUCCCAGUGCUGUGUACUCAACACUAAAUUGGCUAUUAAAGAUCUGUUGAAUGAA